rnacentral:rRNA from 1 species
ACCACGACUCUCGACAAUGGAUAUCUCGGCUC